rnacentral:tRNA from 1 species
GUGAUGGCUCAGUGGCUAAGAGCACUGGUUAUUCUUCCAGAAGACCUGGGUUUGAUUCCCAGCAUUCACA